rnacentral:rRNA from 1 species
UACGUAGGGUGCGAGCGUUAAUCGGAAUUACUGGGCGUAAAGCGUGCGCAGGCGGUUUUGUAAGCCGGAUGUGAAAUCCCCGGGCUUAACCUGGGAAUGGCAUUCGGGACUGCAAGGCUGGAGUGCGGCAGAGGAGACUGGAAUUCCUGGUGUAGCAGUGAAAUGCGUAGAUAUCAGGAGGAACACCGAUGGCGAAGGCAGCUCUCUGGGACGGUACUGACGCUGAGACGCGAAAGCGUGGGGAGCGAACAGG